GGUUAAGCGACUAAGCGUACACGGUGGAUGCCCUGGCAGUCAGAGGCGAUGAAGGACGUGCUAAUCUGCGAUAAGCGUCGGUAAGGUGAUAUGAACCGUUAUAACCGGCGAUUUCCGAAUGGGGAAACCCAGUGUGUUUCGACACACUAUCAUUAACUGAAUCCAUAGGUUAAUGAGGCGAACCGGGGGAACUGAAACAUCUAAGUACCCCGAGGAAAAGAAAUCAACCGAGAUUCCCCCAGUAGCGGCGAGCGAACGGGGAGCAGCCCAGAGCCUGAAUCAGUGUGUGUGUUAGUGGAAGCGUCUGGAAAGGCGCGCGAUACAGGGUGACAGCCCCGUACACAAAAAUGCACAUGCUGUGAGCUCGAUGAGUAGGGCGGGACACGUGGUAUCCUGUCUGAAUAUGGGGGGACCAUCCUCCAAGGCUAAAUACUCCUGACUGACCGAUAGUGAACCAGUACCGUGAGGGAAAGGCGAAAAGAACCCCGGCGAGGGGAGUGAAAAAGAACCUGAAACCGUGUACGUACAAGCAGUGGGAGCACGCUUAGGCGUGUGACUGCGUACCUUUUGUAUAAUGGGUCAGCGACUUAUAUUCUGUAGCAAGGUUAACCGAAUAGGGGAGCCGAAGGGAAACCGAGUCUUAACUGGGCGUUAAGUUGCAGGGUAUAGACCCGAAACCCGGUGAUCUAGCCAUGGGCAGGUUGAAGGUUGGGUAACACUAACUGGAGGACCGAACCGACUAAUGUUGAAAAAUUAGCGGAUGACUUGUGGCUGGGGGUGAAAGGCCAAUCAAACCGGGAGAUAGCUGGUUCUCCCCGAAAGCUAUUUAGGUAGCGCCUCGUGAAUUCAUCUCCGGGGGUAGAGCACUGUUUCGGCAAGGGGGUCAUCCCGACUUACCAACCCGAUGCAAACUGCGAAUACCGGAGAAUGUUAUCACGGGAGACACACGGCGGGUGCUAACGUCCGUCGUGAAGAGGGAAACAACCCAGACCGCCAGCUAAGGUCCCAAAGUCAUGGUUAAGUGGGAAACGAUGUGGGAAGGCCCAGACAGCCAGGAUGUUGGCUUAGAAGCAGCCAUCAUUUAAAGAAAGCGUAAUAGCUCACUGGUCGAGUCGGCCUGCGCGGAAGAUGUAACGGGGCUAAACCAUGCACCGAAGCUGCGGCAGCGACGCUUAUGCGUUGUUGGGUAGGGGAGCGUUCUGUAAGCCUGUGAAGGUGUGUUGUGANNNNNNNNNNNNNNNNNNNNNNNNNNNNNNNNNNNNNNNNNNNNNNNNNNNNNNNNNNNNNNNNNNNNNNNNNNNNNNNNNNNNNNNNNNNNGCUGUGAGGCAUGCUGGAGGUAUCAGAAGUGCGAAUGCUGACAUAAGUAACGAUAAAGCGGGUGAAAAGCCCGCUCGCCGGAAGACCAAGGGUUCCUGUCCAACGUUAAUCGGGGCAGGGUGAGUCGACCCCUAAGGCGAGGCCGAAAGGCGUAGUCGAUGGGAAACAGGUUAAUAUUCCUGUACUUGGUGUUACUGCGAAGGGGGGACGGAGAAGGCUAUGUUGGCCGGGCGACGGUUGUCCCGGUUUAAGCGUGUAGGCUGGUUUUCCAGGCAAAUCCGGAAAAUCAAGGCUGAGGCGUGAUGACGAGGCACUACGGUGCUGAAGCAACAAAUGCCCUGCUUCCAGGAAAAGCCUCUAAGCAUCAGGUAACAUCAAAUCGUACCCCAAACCGACACAGGUGGUCAGGUAGAGAAUACCAAGGCGCUUGAGAGAACUCGGGUGAAGGAACUAGGCAAAAUGGUGCCGUAACUUCGGGAGAAGGCACGCUGAUAUGUAGGUGAAGUCCCUUGCGGAUGGAGCUGAAAUCAGUCGAAGAUACCAGCUGGCUGCAACUGUUUAUUAAAAACACAGCACUGUGCAAACACGAAAGUGGACGUAUACGGUGUGACGCCUGCCCGGUGCCGGAAGGUUAAUUGAUGGGGUCAGCGCAAGCGAAGCUCUUGAUCGAAGCCCCGGUAAACGGCGGCCGUAACUAUAACGGUCCUAAGGUAGCGAAAUUCCUUGUCGGGUAAGUUCCGACCUGCACGAAUGGCGUAAUGAUGGCCAGGCUGUCUCCACCCGAGACUCAGUGAAAUUGAACUCGCUGUGAAGAUGCAGUGUACCCGCGGCAAGACGGAAAGACCCCGUGAACCUUUACUAUAGCUUGACACUGAACAUUGAGCCUUGAUGUGUAGGAUAGGUGGGAGGCUUAGAAGUGUGGACGCCAGUCUGCAUGGAGCCGACCUUGAAAUACCACCCUUUAAUGUUUGAUGUUCUAACGUUGACCCGUAAUCCGGGUUGCGGACAGUGUCUGGUGGGUAGUUUGACUGGGGCGGUCUCCUCCUAAAGAGUAACGGAGGAGCACGAAGGUUGGCUAAUCCUGGUCGGACAUCAGGAGGUUAGUGCAAUGGCAUAAGCCAGCUUGACUGCGAGCGUGACGGCGCGAGCAGGUGCGAAAGCAGGUCAUAGUGAUCCGGUGGUUCUGAAUGGAAGGGCCAUCGCUCAACGGAUAAAAGGUACUCCGGGGAUAACAGGCUGAUACCGCCCAAGAGUUCAUAUCGACGGCGGUGUUUGGCACCUCGAUGUCGGCUCAUCACAUCCUGGGGCUGAAGUAGGUCCCAAGGGUAUGGCUGUUCGCCAUUUAAAGUGGUACGCGAGCUGGGUUUAGAACGUCGUGAGACAGUUCGGUCCCUAUCUGCCGUGGGCGCUGGAGAACUGAGGGGGGCUGCUCCUAGUACGAGAGGACCGGAGUGGACGCAUCACUGGUGUUCGGGUUGUCAUGCCAAUGGCACUGCCCGGUAGCUAAAUGCGGAAGAGAUAAGUGCUGAAAGCAUCUAAGCACGAAACUUGCCCCGAGAUGAGUUCUCCCUGACUCCUUGAGAGUCCUGAAGGAACGUUGAAGACGACGACGUUGAUAGGCCGGGUGUGUAAGCGCAGCGAUGCGUUGAGCUAACCGGUACUAAUGAACCGUGAGGCUUAACCUU
rnacentral:rRNA from 1 species